CUUGAGAGUUAUACAGAUGGACUUCAAACAGUGCAAUGAUACAAACAAAAAGAUAAGUGUUUUUUCUUUUUUUAUUUUUCUAUUUAAUUGUCUCUCUGGUUACACAGCACUUAUUGUUCCAAUCUAUACAGGAUACAUCACACCCUAUAUAUCCUAUCCUAGGUGCUCAGCAUUUAAGAUAAUCAGAGCAUCACGCUGA
rnacentral:lncRNA from 1 species